UACGUAGGGUGCGAGCGUUGUCCGGAAUUAUUGGGCGUAAAGAGCUUGUAGGCGGUUUGUCGCGUCUGCCGUGAAAAUCCGGGGCUCAACCCCGGACUUGCGGUGGGUACGGGCAGACUAGAGUGUGGUAGGGGAGACUGGAAUUCCUGGUGUAGCGGUGAAAUGCGCAGAUAUCAGGAGGAACACCGGUGGCGAAGGCGGAUCUCUGGGCCUGUCCUGACGCUGAGGCGCGAAAGCUAGGGGAGCAAACAGG
rnacentral:rRNA from 1 species